GACGAACGCUGGCGGCGUGCUUAACACAUGCAAGUCGAACGGAAAGGCCCUUCGGGGUACUCGAGUGGCGAACGGGUGAGUAACACGUGGGUGAUUUGCCCUGCACUUUGGGAUAAGCCUGGGAAACUGGGUCUAAUACCGAAUAGGACCACGCGCUUCAUGGUGUGUGGUGGAAAGCUUUUGCGGUGUGGGAUGGGCCCGCGGCCUAUCAGCUUGUUGGUGGGGUAAUGGCCUACCAAGGCGACGACGGGUAGCCGGCCUGAGAGGGUGACCGGCCACACUGGGACUGAGAUACGGCCCAGACUCCAACGGGAGGCAGCGGUGGGGAAUAUUGCACAAUGGGCGCAAGCCUGAGGAAGAGACGCCGCGUGAGGGAUGCCGGCCUUCGGGUUGUAAACCUCUUUCCAUAGGGACGAAGCGCAAGUGACGGUACCUAUAGAAGAAGCACCGGCCAACUACGUG
rnacentral:rRNA from 1 species